UACGUAGGGUGCAAGCGUGUCCGGAAUUAUUGGGCGUAAAGAGCUCGUAGGUGGCCUGUCGCGUCGGCUGUGAAAACUCGGGGCUCAACUCCGAGCUUGCAGUCGAUACGGGCAGGCUAGAGUUCGGCAGGGGAGACUGGAAUUCCUGGUGUAGCGGUGAAAUGCGCAGAUAUCAGGAGGAACACCGGUGGCGAAGGCGGGUCUCUGGGCCGAUACUGACACUGAGACGCGAAAGCGUGGGGAGCAAACAGG
rnacentral:rRNA from 1 species